AGCAGCCGCGGUAAUUCCAGCUCCAAUAGCGUAUAUUAAAGUUGUUGCAGUUAAAAAGCUCGUAGUUGAAUCUCGGGGUUAGUAGAUUGGUCAUGCCUCUGGUAUGCACUGGUCUUACUGAUUCCUCCUUCCUGAUGAACCGUAAUGCCAUUAAUUUGGUGUUGCGGGGAAACUGGACUGUUACUUUGAAAAAUUAGAGUGUUUAAAGCAGGCUAACGCUUGAAUACAUUAGCAUGGAAUAAUGAAAUAGGACGUUCGAUCUUAUUUUGUUGGUUUCUAGGAUUGACGUAAUGAUUAAUAGGGAUAGUUGGGGGCAUUAGUAUUCAAUUGUCAGAGGUGAAAUUCUUGGAUUUAUUGAAGACUAACUACUGCGAAAGCAUUUGCCAAGGAUGUUUUCAUUAAUCAAGAACGAAAGUUAGGGGAUCGAAGACGAUCAGAUACCGUCGUAGUCUUAACCAUAAACUAUGCCGACUAGGGAUCGGAUGAUGUUAAUUUUUAAUGACUCAUUCGGCGCCUUAAC
rnacentral:rRNA from 1 species